CUCUUAGAAUCCAGCCACCAUGUUGGGAGGAAGCCCAGGCCACAUAGAGAGGCCACAUGAAGAGGUUCCAGCAGAUGACCCUGGCUAAAGAGUCAGCGAAUAGCCAGCAUCAACCGCCAGACAUGUCAAUGGGAUAUUUAAAAGUGUUCCAAUGGUGACAAAGAGUUCUUUACCUAUUUGAAAUGGAAUGCCACUUGAGCCACUUUGAGACUUCAUCCCAUUGUCAUUUCCAUUUGUCUUCACUGCCUCAGGAAAGACAAGCAUGGUUCAAGGACAAAGCCCAGGCUCAACGAGCUCCAAAGAGGAACCCACAGAAAACAGAGGCAGCCCAGAGUGUCUCAGCUUAGUGCUGCUGAAGCCUGGGCCCUUAAAAGCUUCUAGCAGAUUCUGUUUAUAGAUAAAUUGUGACAGAAUCACGCAUGUUGCAUAUUUACAAUGGAGAGGAGAUUUGGGGAAUACAAAAGGCCUUUCAGAGAAGUUGAUACGUGGUAAGAAUGGGUUAUCCUUCCUCCCUAGGCAAGGGCAGGAGAUCCUACGCUGGGUAGAAGUGGGGAGGGGUGCCACAGGCCAUGCCUGAGGGGAGAUGGCUGGACCGUACUGGACUGGACUGGAGGAGAGGUGGGAGAUGGCUCAGGCAGUUCUUCAGGAAGAUGGCAUUCCCCAGUCUGGCCAGAAGCUCAGAGGCCUGUCGGACCAGGCUGCCCACAAUGACGGCCGUCUCAACAGUGAUCGCCGUGGGCCCGUCAUUGGUGACCAGAGGACCCCACCCCUCAACUUUUAUCUCCCCUCACUUGGCAAAACAACACGGUGCCUGGCACGUGGUAGACAUUCAUUGAAAAAGUUUUUGAGUGAAUGAAGAAAAGAAACAUUGUGUAACAUUGUGUGACUUUUUAUAAUGGACACUUUUCUACUAGAGAACCUUAAGCUUCUUUCUCUCAUUUGGUACAUAAACACAAAAUAUCUCCUAAUAGGGCAGGGCACAGUGACUCACACCUGUAAUCCCAGCUGACUCAUGCCUAUAAUCUCUGCACUUUGGGAGGCCAAGGCAAGUGGGUCGCUUGAGCUCAUGAAUUCAAGACCAGCCUGGGCAACAUGGCGAAACCCCGUCUCCACAAAAAAAAUACAAAAAUUAGCCAGGCAUGGUGGCAAGCUCCUGCAGUCCCAGCUACUUGGGAGGCUGAGUUGGGAGGAUGGCUUGAGCCCCGGAGAUGGAGGUUGUGGUGAGCCAAGAUCAUGACACUGCAUU
rnacentral:lncRNA from 10 species